rnacentral:hammerhead_ribozyme from 1 species
AUCCUGACGACGAGUCUCAAACAGGACGAAAUACGCAUCGUGGAU